rnacentral:rRNA from 1 species
AACGUAGGUGGCAAGCGUUAUCCGGAUUGACUGGGCGUAAAGGGUGUGCAGGCGGCUCGCCAAGUGGUGUAUGAAAGGGCCCGGCUCAACCGGGUCAGGCUAUGCCAGACUGGCGGGCUAGGGUGCGGGAGAGGGACGUGGAAUUCCGGGUGUAGUGGUGAAAUGCGUAGAGAUCCGGAGGAACCCCAGAGGCGAAGGCGGCGUCCUGGCCCGACACUGACGCUCAGACACGACAGCAUGGGGAGCGAAC